ACUUUGGGGAUGUGGCAGAGGCUGCUGGGCCAGUCACUUCUUCUGGAUGGGGGGCCAGAGAAGGAGGUGUGCCCGUGGCGGUUGGCGAAGGCCCCGGAGCAGAAUCCGCGGUGGUUCAUGGAGAUGUCCCGGCUGUAGCCCCGGUUCCGCCGGGAACAUUUCCGCCGGAGAUAGUGGUAAAGCUGGAAGAGGGAAGGAGAACACCCAAACUUGCACCGUUUUGCUUCGUGUUGGUGCCAGGGCAGGUGGGAAGGUGCCGGGUGGUGUGGCCAGGGACUGGGACAAUGCCAGGCUUUGAAACUGAGCAGUUAGAGAAUCAUGGAAUCAUGGAGUGGUUUGGGUUGGAAAAGACCUUAAAGCUUAUCCAGUGUCACCCCCUGCCAUGGACAGGGACACCCUCUGAUAGACCAGGUUGCUCCAAGUCCCUAUCCUUCAAAUCCAAGGAUAUCUAAACUCUUCCUGGGAGAGCUUUCCUCUUUCUACCUCAAAUUCCAGAGAAUCCAAAAGCUGAAAUAUAUUCUGAAUCCAAAAUCUGAAAUAUAAAAUCUGAAAUAUAUUAUUUUCCCCCCUAAUAACUGCCAUGGCUUUCCCCAGUCAUUUUCAUGUCCACAGAGCUGCAAAAUUACCGAGGAGCAUCUUUGUUUCUGUUCCUCAGUAGCUGUUGGAUGGAUCAAAGUUUCCACCCUGGCUCUGUUACUGCAGCCCCAAAAUUCUUUUAUAGAAGGUGAUUGGCCCAGGCACAGAGGGAUUGGAUCCAGAACGGAGCGAGAGCCCACCCAUAUCCUGAGGACUUGGCUCAGGCAGAGGGGUCCCGCUGCCAGCACGAGCUAAAUCUCAAAUGAGCUGCAUCCCACGACUAGGAAAGGAUAAAAUCCCAGGAAAAAAAAGAGACUUACCCUCUUCAUCCAUCGGAAACACAUUUAGAAGGUAAAGUCGACUGAAUGAGGAGCUUUAUCAGCCUCGGGGACAUUUAUAUGGCGUUUAACGUGUAUGGGAAGUGAGACACCCUCGGGAAUGAGAAGGAUUUAUUUACCGAACUGCGAUUUCAGUGUUUGCUUUGACUCCCGAUCCAUAUCUCCCUUCAGACCGCUCAUUUCGCCGCUGUAAUUGUUACUUGUGCUUAAUGAGCCUGUUCCUGCGCCCCUGCCCUGGGCUACGCCGGAAUCCUCCGGCCCCAGCCCCGGGGAGGUGGGUGGCGGUGGGGGCGUAGGAGAAUGCACAGCGAGAGCGGGGACGUGGGGCAACGCUCCCGAAGCUCUGGGGACGAUCUGAUCCCUCCCGCCGGGUCCCCGGUGGCUCCAGGGGGAGCUUUUUUUUUUUUUCCGAGGAAAACAUUUGCAUAUGAUCCAGAAGGUUCAAAGUGAUUGAUGCCCCAAGUGGGAAUUUUGCCAGGGCGCUGGAGGUGCUCUAAGAGAGUUUAAAAGGCAGAAUUUGCGGAGAUGUGAACGUCCCCAUGCUUAAACCCAGCCUGGCUGGAUUACGCUUUAAUGAAGGAUUAUGCUUUA